rnacentral:rRNA from 1 species
UACGUAGGGUGCGAGCGUUGUCCGGAAUUAUUGGGCGUAAAGAGCUCGUAGGCGGUUUGUCGCGUCGGGAGUGAAAACUCGGGGCUUAACUCCGAGCCUGCUUCCGAUACGGGCAGACUAGAGGUAUGCAGGGGAGAACGGAAUUCCUGGUGUAGCGGUGAAAUGCGCAGAUAUCAGGAGGAACACCGGUGGCGAAGGCGGUUCUCUGGAACGCAACUGACGCUGAGACGCGAAAGCGUGGGGAGCAAACAGG